GGUACCGUCCUCCCGAAGGUUAGACUAGCUACUUCUUUUGCAACCCACUCCCAUGGUGUGACGGGCGGUGUGUACAAGGCCCGGGAACGUAUUCACCGUGGCAUUCUGAUCCACGAUUACUAGCGAUUCCGACUUCAUGGAGUCGAGUUGCAGACUCCAAUCCGGACUACGACAAGCUUUGUGGGAUUCGCUCCACCUCGCGGUAUUGCUGCCCUCUGUACUUGCCAUUGUAGCACGUGUGUAGCCCAUCCCGUAAGGGCCAUGAUGACUUGAUAUCGUCCCCACCUUCCUCCGGUUUAUCACCGGCAGUCUCCUUAAAGUUCCCGCCAUUACGCGCUGGCAAAUAAGGAUAGGGGUUGCGCUCGUUGCGGGACUUAACCCAACAUUUCACAACACGAGCUGACGACAGCCAUGCAGCACCUGUCUCAGAGUUCCCGAAGGCACUAAUCUAUCUCUAGAAAAUUCUCUGGAUGUCAAGGGAUGGUAAGGUUCUUCGCGUUGCAUCGAAUUAAACCACAUGCUCCACCGCUUGUGCGGGCCCCCGUCAAUUCAUUUGAGUUUUAACCUUGCGGCCGUACUCCCCAGGCGGUCAACUUAUCGCGUUAGCUGCGCUACCCACAGAUCAAGUCUACAGACAGCUAGUUGACAUCGUUUACGGCGUGGACUACCAGGGUAUCUAAUCCUGUUUGCUCCCCACGCUUUCGUGCCUCAGCGUCAGUAUUUGUCCAGGUGGCCGCCUUCGCCACUGAUGUUCCUUCCAAUCUCUACGCAUUUCACCGCUACACUGGAAAUUCCACCACCCUCUACAAUACUCUAGCCUGCCAGUUCAAAAUGCAGUUCCCAGGUUGAGCCCGGGGCUUUCACAUCUUGCUUAACAAACCGCCUACGCACGCUUUACGCCCAGUAAUUCCGAUUAACGCUCGCACCCUCCGUAUUACCGCGGCUGCUGGCACGGAGUUAGCCGGUGCUUCUUCUGUUGCUAACGUCACAGAAUGCAGUUAUUAACUACAUCCCUUUCCUCACAACUGAAAGUGCUUUACAACCCGAAGGCCUUCUUCACACACGCGGCAUGGCUGCAUCAGGCUUUCGCCCAUUGUGCAAUAUUCCCCACUGCUGCCUCCCGUAGGAGUCUGGGCCGUGUCUCUG
rnacentral:rRNA from 1 species